rnacentral:rRNA from 1 species
AUUGAACGCUGGCGGCAGGCCUAACACAUGCAAGUCGAACGAGUGGCGGACGGGUGAGUAAUGUCUGGGAAACUGCCCGCUGGAGGGGGAUAACUACUGGAAACGGUAGCUAAUACCGCAUACCAUCGGAUGUGCCCAGAUGGGAUUAGCUAGUAGGUGGUGUAACGGCUCACCUAGGCGACGAUCCCUAGCUGGUCUGAGAGGCGGACCAUCCACACUGUAACUGAGACACGGUCCAGACUCCUACGGGAGGCAGCAGUGGGGAAUAUUGCACAAUGGGCGCAAGCCGUAUGCAGCCAGGCCGCGUGUAUGAAGAAGGCCUUCGGGUUGUAAAGUACUUUCAGCGAGGAGGCGUUACUCGCAGAAGAAGCACCGGCUAACUCCGUGCCAGCAGCCGCGGUAAUUC